rnacentral:rRNA from 1 species
CCUCUACUCCUACGGGAGGCAGCAGUAGGGAAUCUUCCGCAAUGGACGAAAGUCUGACGGAGCAACGCCGCGUGAGUGAUGAAGGCUUUCGGGUCGUAAAACUCUGUUGUUAGGGAAGAACAAGUACAAGAGUAACUGCUCGUACCUUGACGGUACCUAACCAGAAAGCCACGGCUAACUACGUGCCAGCAGCCGCGGUAAUAA